rnacentral:misc_RNA from 1 species
UGGUUCUGGCAUCGAUGAAGAACGCAGCAAAAUGCGAUAAGUAAUGUGAAUUGCAGAAUUCAGUGAAUCAUCGAAUCUUUGAACGCACAUUGCGCCCUUUGGUACUCCGAAGGGCAUGCCUGCUCGAGCGUCAUUUAAGCCCUCAAGCCUAGCUUGGUAUUAGGUGGGUGGUCCCCGUAGGACCCACCUGUAACUCGUCCUGGCGGUGCCAACCAGCUACAAGCGUAGCAAGGAUUACCCUCGCUUCCGAAGCUCUGGGCGGUGUCUGCCGGUAAAUACAAUCUAAAGUUUGACCUCGGAUCAGGUAGGGAUACCCGCUGA